CCUCUGCCUUAUGCUAUAGGGAUGUUUCCAUAGCAUUGAAUAUAAUCCCAGGGAAGUCCUCUGGAGCUCUUGGAAUGUGUGAUAAUAACACCAGCCCUGCCCGAGGAGGAUGGACAGCUGGAAAUCUGCCCCUGGCUGCUGGGGCUCCCUCCUCUCUCCCCAUCCCUGUGUAACUGAUGGAGAAAUCUCUGGGAGCAAUCUGGGACUGAGUUGGAGACACUGAAGGAUUAUUUUACAGGGGAAAGAGGUUUUAAAAAAGAGCUGACUUCUUCCCCUCUCCAUCAAAUCUGCUGCCUUCCUGAGGAACUGGGCCAGUCCUGCCUUUCCACUCG